rnacentral:rRNA from 1 species
AUUGAACGCUAGCGGGAUGCCUUACACAUGCAAGUCGAACGGAGUGGCGAACGGGUGAGGAAUGUAACGGAACGUGCCCAGUAGCGGGGGAUAACUACGCGAAAGCGUAGCUAAUACCGCAUACUAUUGGAGUGGCCGAUACCGGGUUAGCUAGUGGGUGGGGUAACGGCCCACCAAGGCGACGAUCCCUAGCUGGUUUGAGAGGACGACCAGCAACACUGGAACUGAGACACGGUCCAGACUCCUACGGGAGGCAGCAGUGGGGAAUAUUGGACAAUGGGGGAAAGCCUGAUGCAGCCAUCCCGCGUGUGCGAUGAAGGCCUUCGGGUUGUAAAGCACUUUUAGCAGGAAAGCGGUACCUGCAGAAUAAGCACCGGCUAACUACGUGCCAGCAGCCGCGGUAAUAC